AUGAACUCAACUGAAUUCAGUGAAGAUGUAGAAGAACUUCUAAGAAGUGAGAGUGGAGACAGAGGCCGAAGAUGCUGCUCUAGGCUGCUCCAUGAAUUCCAGGACUUCUGAGAAGCACCCUCUGGACAGCGUCUUCACUGCCCUCCAGGACUUGGCAGGUCAGCAGUGGCCCCCAGACUCCGUCCCCAGCAUGAAGAGGAGGCAGCUGAUCCCAGAGGCACUCGUAGAAGGCAUGUGGAACCUGAGAACAGCUCACCCUGCCAAGGCAAUGGAGAGCAGGCUGGCAGGGCAGGAGCUCAGGCUCUGUGUGGCCAGGCAAGGAGGAGCCCUGCAACCACGCCACCACCCCUUACUACAAGAAGCCUCUGUAUGGCAUCUCGCACAAGGUCAUGGAGAAGAAGAAUCCUCCCUCAGGGGACCUGCUAAGCAUGUAUGAGCUCUUCCAGAAGGCAAAUGCCAGGAACAGCCCCUUGCCACUUAGGCUCCUGAAUGAGCUACAGAAGUGGGACUGUGGCAGCACUGGGGUGGCCACCAACAGUGAUCUUAACAUCUACUUCCUGAUCCAGAAGAUAUUCUACAUGCUCAACACCCUCACGUCCAACAGGUCCCAGCUGCACAGCAAAGUGGACCUGCUCUCCCUGAAGGUGAACCACACUGAGAUGGUGGCCAAAUUCCAGCCGCUCCCACCACUCCAUAGCAGCUCAUAGGUGGCGUAGCUCAAGCAGAUUGUGGACCAGAGCCUGUUGGGCAAGGCCCUGGCCUGCUUCCUGCUGGUGCAGCUCUUCCCCAAGCUCAUCAGCCACAGUCGACUUCUCCCGAGGCUGCAGUGCCUGCGGCUUUGAGGCCAAGCGUAAGCUGGAGUCACUGCACCUGCAGCACAUCCACAACUACAUGGAGGUCUACUACCCCUCAGUGAAGGACACGGCUGUGUGACAGGCCGAGUGCUUGCCCCAGCUGAGUAACUUCUUCAGUCGCUUCUGGGCCCAGCGGGAGAUGGAGAACAGCCAGCCCGAUGGCCAGGCCGCCAGCUUCUUUGAGGCCGAGCAGUGGACCCCGGCCACUUCCUGGACCACAAAGACGAGGAGGAGGGCCUGUCUCUGGACCGGAGCAGCACCAUCGCCUCAGACCACGUGGUGGACAUGCAGGACCUCACCGAGUUCCUGGAUGAAGCCUCUUCACCCGGCAAGUUUGCCGUCUUCAUCCUCCACUGGUUCUUCCCUGAGCUCUUUGACCACCGCAAGCUGGGCGAGCAGGACAGCUGCCACGGGGACGGCGGCAAGCAGGAGCUGGACCCGCAGAGGCUGCAGAUCAUCCGCAACUACAGGGAGGUCAACUUCCCCCACAUGCAGGAGGAGGCCUGGCUGCAGCAGUGUGCCCAGCGCAUCAAUGACAAGCUCCAGGGUCUGCGGCUGGACCCGGGCAGCAAAGGUGAGCCCCCCACGCGAUGACUGCUAUGACUCCUCUAGCCUGCCCAAUGACAUCUCAGUAAUCAAGGUGGAGGAUAGCUUCAAGCGCGAACAGCACUGCUCCAAGAAGAUCUGGCUGGUACCCAUCGACUUGGACAAAUUGGAGAUCCCCCAACCCAACUUGGAGGUGCCCGGCACCGACUGCCUGCUCAGCAAGGUGCAUUGUGCAGUAUCUACGAGAGCAGCCUGUCCAUCAGCAACUUCGCCUCAUGCCUGCUGGUGCCCCUGUUCCCCAAGCUCUUCACCCAUGAGCCCGUGCACAAGCAGUACAGCUGCAGUGGCUCCCUGGGCAAGAAGUAGCUGGACCCAUCCUGCAUCAAGUUCAUUCACCACUCUGUGCACCUACGCUACCUCCGCACCAAAAACAACUGCUUCUGGACCCUGGAGUUCACUGGCAAACUGGACAAGCACUGCCCACGCCGGGACACGAGCAGAGGCGCUCCUACCAGCAGCGGUGCAAGGUCCAUGUGUUGGGCCCGAGUGCAGAGACAUGAGGAGCUAUGCAGUCAACCCCAAAAGGUUUGAGGAGGAGUUUGAGGGUCCCCCGCUGCCCCCGAGAGGAGCAGCAAGGACUUCUGCAAGAUCCCCUUGGACGAGGUGGUGGUCCCUCACCCAGCUUCCCGGUGCCCUCUCCCUACCUGCUGUCCGACAAUGAGGUGCGCGAGAUCGUGCAGCAGAGCCUCUCCGUGGGCAACAUUGCCACGGGGCUCCUCCACCACCGAGAACCUCCAGCUGCAGUACAACCAUUCCCGGGCUUGCAGCAAGAAGCAGCUGGACCCUAUGCAGCUGCGGCUCAUCCGCCACAACGUGGAAGCCAUCUACCCCGUGGAGAAGGUGGAGGAGGUGUGGCACUGCGAAUGUAUCCCCAGCAUCGACGAGCGGUGCCGCUGCCAUAACAGGAAAAAAUGCAACAUCCUUAAGAAAGCCAAGAAAGUGGAGAAGUGA